CAAUAGCGUAUAUUUAAGUUGUUGCAGUUAAAAAGCUCGUAGUUGAAUUUGUGUUUGUCUUCUCUGAUGAGCCCUUCGGUUUGUCAGUAUAAGACUUGCAUUGUGUAGUUUAAUCGCUACACCAUUACCUUGAGGAAAUUAGAGUGUUUCAAGCAGGCUUUUGCCUUGAAUACUACAGCAUGGAAUAAUAAGAUAAGACUUUGGUCUUGUUUUGUUGGUUUACGGACUAAAGUAAUGAUUAAUAGGGAUAGUUGGUGGCAUUCGUAUUUAACAGUCAGAGGUGAAAUUCUUGGAUUUGUUAAAGACGAGCUACUGCGAAAGCAUUUGCCAAGGAUGUUUNCAUUAA
rnacentral:rRNA from 1 species